rnacentral:tRNA from 1 species
GGUUCUAUAGUGUAAUGGUUAGUACUUUGAACUCUAAAUUCAAUGACCUGAGUUCAAAUCUCUGUCAAACCU